GAGAUACCGACGACGCCGACGAGUCCUUCAUUCCACUCCCAGUGCAGGUCUUUGCAAGUUUUACUAAAUUCGGAGAAUGACCCUUUCUGCGGCAAGGUGAGCCGGCGUCUCCGUGGACACAGAUCAGAACCCCAGUGGUUCAGAUUUCUUUCCCCAGGACAGAAACCAAGACGAGCCUCACGCCCUGAAAAUGCUGGAAGCGAGGGUCCUGUGCUGCACAAGGCACCUCCCGAAAAGAUUCCUUGCUCUAGGGGAAGCAGGCUGACAUGUUGUGAGCUGCUUUAUGGAGAGACCCACUUGGCAAGGAAUAGACAUCUUAAGCUAUUAGCCAACAAGGAUCUGAGGCCUGCCAACAGCCACAUGAGCAAGCUUGAAAGUGAAGCCUCCCACAUCAAACCUCAGGAAGACUCCAGUUCUAUCCAACAUCUUGAUGGCAACCCUAUGGGAGACCAGGAGCUAGAGGCAUCCAGUAAGCUACACCCAAAUUCUGCCCACUGAUGCUGUGAGAUAAUACAUGCUUAUUGCUUUACACUGCUAAUGUUUGUGCUACUUUGUUAUGCAGCACUAGAUAACUAAUACACCAAUCCAUCACUCCAUGGAUACAACUUUUUCCAAGGGCCACAGUGCUUUUAGUCUUGACCUUAGUUGCUUUGUCAGUUGCAAGAGUGAGCACCCUCUUCUUGAAAUACUUCUCAUUCGGCUUCCAGGUCACCACACUUUGUUUUUGUUUAUUUGUUUUCCCCAGCCUCAUAGCUGCUUCUUCGCAGGCUCUGUGACUGGAUCCUUUUAAUUUGUCCACCUUUACUCUGGAGAAUUCUCCAGGGCUCAGUCCUCAGAUCUCAACUCUCCUGAUCUACUCCUAUCUAGGCAAUGACUUCAUCUAGAUGUACAGAUUUAUUUGUUUGUUUGUUUGAAGGAGAGAGUGAGUGGGAAGAGGGGGGCAAAGGAGAGGGAGAGAAAGAAUCUUAAGCAGGCUCCAUGGUCAGCACAUAGUCCCAUGUAGGGCUCAAUCUCACUACCCUGUAAAUGCGGAGACUUGUUCUUACCAAUGCCCGGCACCGUGUGUGGCACAUCUCAGACCCUCACUAAAUGGUUGUUAAAUGCUCAAGAUUGGACUGGGGCAAAGCACCCCAUGGAAUCAAGAUGGGAGGGGGGGGCAAAAUGCCCCCCUCCCAUGCUAACAUAGCUCCAAAUUCCUCAGACAACUGCCAGUGCUCAAAAAAGGAAAAUACUAUCAAAAAGUGAGCUCUGGUCACAAUGACCCCCUAACUUAUAGAGAGCCUCACCUGCAUAACUCUGAGAAUCAAUCAGGGAUUGUACAUGGCUAUAUAUACUAAAUAAAUAUACCAGGGCUCAACUGAAUGGCA
rnacentral:lncRNA from 1 species